GUGAGGAAUAUUGGUCAAUGGACGAGAGUCUGAACCAGCCAAGUAGCGUGAAGGAUGACUGCCCUAUGGGUUGUAAACUUCUUUUAUAAGGGAAUAAAGUGAGGGACGUGUCCCUUUUUGUAUGUACCUUAUGAAUAAGGAUCGGCUAACUCCGUGCCAGCAGCCGCGGUAAUACGGAGGAUCCAAGCGUUAUCCGGAUUUAUUGGGUUUAAAGGGAGCGUAGGUUGACAUAUAAGUCAGCUGUGAAAGUUUACGGCUCAACCGUGAAAUUGCAGUUGAUACUGUAUGUCUUGAGUGUACAAGAGGUGGGCGGAAUUCGUGGUGUAGCGGUGAAAUGCUUAGAUAUCACGAAGAACUCCAAUUGCGAAGGCAGCUCACUGGGGUACAACUGACACUGAGGCUCGAAAGUGUGGGUAUCAAACAGGAUUAGAUACCCGUGUAGUCC
rnacentral:rRNA from 1 species